rnacentral:rRNA from 1 species
CAGUAGGGAAUAUUGCACAAUGGAGGAAACUCUGAUGCAGCGACGCCGCGUGAGUGAUGAAGGCCUUCGGGUCGUAAAGCUCUGUCGCAGGGGAAUAACACAAUGAAUGUACCCUGUAAGAAAGGAUCGGCUAACUUCGUGCCAGCAGCCGCGGUAAGACGAGGGAUCCUAGCGUUGUUCGGAAUUAUUGGGCGUAAAGCGGGUGCAGGUGGCUUUGUAAGUCAGGUGUGAAAGCCCAGGGCUCAACCCUGGAAGUGCACUUGAUACUGCGAAGCUUGAGUGUAGGAGAGGUUACUAGAAUUCUUGGUGUAGUGGUGAAAUACGUAGAUAUCAAGAGGAAUACCGGUGGCGAAGGCGGGUAACUGGCCUAACACUGACACUCAGACCCGAAAGCGUGGGGAUCAAACAGGAUUAGA